ACCCGCACAAGCAGCGGAGCGUGUGGUUUAAUUCGUUGCUACACGAAGAACCUUACCUGGGUUUGACAUAUAAGUUGUAGGGAACUGAAAAGGGACCGACCCUUCGGGGAGCUUAUACAGGUGUUGCAUGGCUGUCGUCAGCUCGUGUCGUGAGAUGUUCGGUUAAGUCCGCUAACGAGCGCAACCCUCGCCGUAUGUUACAAGUGUCAUACGGGACUGCCGGUAAAAGCCGGAGGAAGGUGAGGAUGAUGUCAAGUCAGCAUGACCUUUAUAUCCAGGGCUACACACACGCUACAAUGGUCUGUACAAUUGGUUGCCAAGCCGCGAGGCGGAGCCAAUCCGUAAAGCAGGCCUCAGUUCAGAUUGCAGUCUGCAACUCGACUGCAUGAAGCCGGAGUUGCUAGUAAUCGUGGAUCAGAAUGUCACGGUGAAUACGUUCCCGGGUCUU
rnacentral:rRNA from 1 species